GUGGCCUAAGUGGUUAGAGCGUCCGCCUCGGAUGCAGGAGGUCGCGGGUUUGAACCCCCGACCAAGCCA